UACGUAGGUGGCUAGCGUUGUCCGGAUUUACUGGGCGUAAAGCGUGCGCAGGCGGUUAUGUAAGACAGGUGUGAAAUCCCCGGGCUUAACCUGGGAACUGCAUUUGUGACUGCAUAGCUAGAGUACGGUAGAGGGGGAUGGAAUUCCGCGUGUAGCAGUGAAAUGCGUAGAUAUGCGGAGGAACACCGAUGGCGAAGGCAAUCCCCUGGACCUGUACUGACGCUCAUGCACGAAAGCGUGGGGAGCAAACAGG
rnacentral:rRNA from 1 species